AAAGAUGGUUUUCUUCGGACACUCUUCAAGGUGCUGCAUGGUUGUCGUCAGCUCGUGCCGUGAGGUGUCGGGUUAAGUCCCAUAACGAGCGCAACCCUUACCGUUAGUUACCAUCAGGUUAAGCUGGGGACUCUAGCGGGACUGCCACCGUAAGGUGAGAGGAAGGUGGGGAUGACGUCAAAUCAGCACGGCCCUUAUGUCCAGGGCUACACACGUGUUACAAUGGCCGGUACAAAGGGCAGCUACUUCGCGAGAAGAUGCUAAUCUCGAAAGCCGGUCUCAGUUCGGAUCGAAGUCUGCAACCCGACUUCGUGAAGCUGGAUUCGCUAGUAAUCGCGCAUCAGCCAUGGCGCGGUGAAUACGUUCCCGGGCCUU
rnacentral:rRNA from 1 species